GUGGAGACGCUCCUUCAGAGCAUCUGCCUUGCAUGCAGAAGGUCCCAGGUUUAAUCCCUGGAAUCUCCACU